rnacentral:snoRNA from 1 species
GGUGAGGCGGUCGAAACCAUGCCUGUCGAUGUGCAGGAUACCGCCCGCAAACUUAUACUCGCACACCAUA